GAUGAACGCUGGCGGCGUGCCUAAUACAUGCCAGUCGAGCGAACAGACGAGGAGCUUGCUCCUCUGACGUUAGCGGCGGACGGGUGAGUAACACGUGGAUAACCUACCUAUAAGACUGGGAUAACUUCGGGAAACCGGAGCUAAUACCGGAUAAUAUAUUGAACCGCAUGGUUCAAUAGUGAAAGACGGUUUUGCUGUCACUUAUAGAUGGAUCCGCGCCGCAUUAGCUAGUUGGUAAGGUAACGGCUUACCAAGGCAACAAUGCGUAGCCGACCUGAGAGGGUGAUCGGCCACACUGGAACUGAGACACGGUCCAGACUCCUACGGGAGGCAGCAGUAGGGAAUCUUCCGCAAUGGGCGAAAGCCUGACGGAGCAACGCCGCGUGAGUGAUGAAGGUCUUCGGAUCGUAAAACUCUGUUAUUAGGGAAGAACAAAUGUGUAAGUAACUAUGCACGUCUUGACGGUACCUAAUCAGAAAGCCACGGCUAACUACGUG
rnacentral:rRNA from 1 species